UACGUAGGUGGCAAGCGUUGUCCGGAUUUACUGGGCGUAAAGCGCGUGUAGGUGGCAAGCUAAGUCUGCUGUGAAAGCUCCUCGCUUAACGGGGAGAGGUCGGUGGAAACUAGCUAGCUAGAGUACGGAAGAGGCGAGUGGAAUUCCUGGUGUAGCGGUGAAAUGCGCAGAUAUCAAGGAGGAACACCAAUUGCGAAGGCAGCUCGCUGGGACGUACUGACGCUGAGACGCGAAAGCGUGGGGAGCAAACAGG
rnacentral:rRNA from 1 species